rnacentral:rRNA from 1 species
UUUUCCUUUGCGAUCACACGCAAUCGAUACAACUUUCAACAACGGAUCUCUUGGCUCUCGCAUCGAUGAAGAACGCAGCGAAAUGCGAUACGUAAUGUGAAUUGCAGAAUUCAGUGAAUCAUCGAAUCUUUGAACGCACCUUGCGCCCCUUGGCAUUCCGAGGGGCACACCCGUUUGAGUGUCGUGAAAUUCUCAAAACCCUUUCUUUUUGGUCUUUCGAUCGAAGAAAGGCUUUUGGACUUGGAGGCUUUUUGCUGGUUUCACCUUGAAGCGAGCUCCUCCUAAAUGAAUCAGUGGGGUCCGCUUUGCUGAUCCUUGACGUGAUAAGAUGUUUCUACGUCUUGGGUUUUGGCACUGUCCCUUGGGCACCUGCUUCAAACCGUCUCAUUGACAACGAUGGUGUUCCGGUCACCGCCGCUUCGUCGGCGGGAGGCUUGACCCACAAAUGAACCUUGACCUCAAAUCGGGUGAGACUACCCGCUGAACUUAAGCAUAUCAAUAAGCGG